rnacentral:rRNA from 1 species
GACGAACGCUGGCGGCGUGCUUAACACAUGCAAGUCGAACGGUGAAGGGAUCAGCUUGCUGGUUCUGGAUGAGUGGCGAACGGGUGAGUAACACGUGAGUAACCUGCCCCCUUCUUCUGGAUAACCGCAUGAAAGUGUGGCUAAUACGGGAUAUUCUGGGUCUGUCGCAUGAUGGGUCUGGGAAAGAUAUUGUUUCGGUGGGGGAUGGGCUCGCGGCCUAUCAGCUUGUUGGUGGGGUGAUGGCCUACCAAGGCGGUGACGGGUAGCCGGCCUGAGAGGGUGGACGGUCACACUGGGACUGAGACACGGCCCAGACUCCUACGGGAGGCAGCAGUGGGGAAUAUUGCACAAUGGGCGCAAGCCUGAUGCAGCGACGCCGCGUGAGGGAGGGAGGCCUUCGGGGUGUAAACCUCUUUCGCCAGUGAAGCAGGCCUGCUCCUUGUGGGUGGGUUGACGGUAGCUGGAUAAGAAGCGCCGGCUAACUACGUG